rnacentral:rRNA from 1 species
CACGUAGGCGGCUUUUUAAGUCAGGGGUGAAAUCCUGGAGCUCAACUCCAGAACUGCCUUUGAUACUGAGAAGCUUGAGUCCGGGAGAGGUGAGUGGAACUGCGAGUGUAGAGGUGAAAUUCGUAGAUAUUCGCAAGGACACCAGUGGCGAAGGCGGCUCACUGGCCCGGUACUGACGCUGAGGUGCGAAAGCGUGGGGAGCAAACA